UCACCACUGGUACUUGGCCUUGAGGAGGACGUCCUCGUAGAGCUUGGCGGCAUGCUCCCAGCUGAAGUCCUGCGACAUGCCGCGCUCCUGGAGGCCCCUCCAGCUCUCCUUGUAGUCCCGGUAGGUGCGGAGGCAGUGCCCGAGCGCCUCGAUCAGCUUGUGCGCCUCGGCGCGGUCGAACGUCCACCCGAGGCCGGAGUGGUUGAAGGGGUCGAACGGCGGCACGGUGUCCCUCAGCCCGCCGACGGCGUGCACGACGGGGACGGUGCCGUAGGCCAUGGCGUAGAGCUGGUUCAGCCCGCACGGCUCGAACCGGGAGGGCAUGAGGAGCGCGUCGGCGCCCGCCGUGAUCCGGUGCGCCAGGCGCACGGAGAACCCCACCCACCCGCGCACCUUGUCGUGGUGCUCCCGCUCGAAGUGCCGCAGCAUGCUCUCCAGGUCGUGGCGGCCGGUGCCCAGCAUGACCAGCUGCACGUCCUGGCUCACGAUCCAGGGCAUGGCGUCCGCGAUGAUCUCCACGCCCUUCUGCCCGUCCAGGCGGCCGAUGAAGCCGAGCAGCGGCACGUCGGCGCGGACCUGCAGGCCCAGCUCGCGCUGCAGGGCCUCCUUGCACUGCCGCUUGCCGGAGUCCAGCGUGCUCAGGGAGAAGUUGGUGUAGCCGUCCGACUGGAGGUGGACGUCCACCUCGGGGUUCCACUCCAUGUUGUCGAUGCCGUUGACGAUGCCGCGGGUCUUCCAGUCGUUCUGCCGUAUGAUGUCGUGAAGCCCCCAGCCGCCCUCCACCGUCUUGAGCUCCCACAGGUACCCGGGGCUCACCACGACAACCUGGUCCGCCAUCUUCAGGCCGGCGGCGAAGUAGUUGGCGUGCUCACCACCCACGGGGUCGUACAGUCUGAAGUGUUCCAGGUAGUGCUCAGGCAACUCGGUGAACGGGAAUUCAUCUACUGGGCCACGGCCCUGCAUAUACAACAUCAA
rnacentral:rRNA from 1 species